AGGACGAACGCUGGCGGCGUGCUUAACACAUGCAAGUCGAGCGGUAAGGCCCUUUCGGGGGUACACGAGCGGCGAACGGGUGAGUAACACGUGGGUGACCUGCCCUUAGCUCUGGGAUAAGCCUGGGAAACUGGGUCUAAUACCGGAUAUGACCUCGCGAUGCAUGUCGUGGGGUGGAAAGCCUUGUGCGGCUAGGGAUGGGCCCGCGGCCUAUCAGCUUGUUGGUGGGGUGAUGGCCUACCAAGGCGACGACGGGUAGCCGGCCUGAGAGGGCGACCGGCCACACUGGGACUGAGACACGGCCCAGACUCCUACGGGAGGCAGCAGUGGGGAAUCUUGCGCAAUGGGCGAAAGCCUGACGCAGCGACGCCGCGUGAGGGAUGACGGCCUUCGGUUGUAACCUCUUCAGCCCUGACGAAGCGAAGUGACGGUAGGGCAGAAGAAGCGACCGGCCAACUACGUGCCAGCAGCCGCGUAA
rnacentral:rRNA from 1 species